GACGAACGCUGGCGGCGUGCUUAACACAUGCAAGUCGAACGGAAAGGCCCUGCUUUUGUGGGGUGCUCGAGUGGCGAACGGGUGAGUAACACGUGAGUAACCUGCCCUUGACUUUGUGAUAACUUCAGGAAACUGGGGCUAAUACCGGAUAUGAGCUCCUGCUGCAUGUUGGGGGUUGGAAAGUUUCGGCGGUUGUGGAUGGACUCGCGGCUUAUCAGCUUGUUGGGGGGGUAGUUGUUUACCAAGGCUUUGACGGGUAGCCGGCCUGAGAGGUUUACCGGCAACCGGGGGCCUGAGAGAGGCAGCAGACGGGAAUGGGAGGCAAGGGGGGGAAACAUGACAGAGGGGGGGGGCGUGUGUGACGAAGGACGUGUGAGCGGGAAGCGGUCUUGGGGGUUAAAAACAAAUGUGGAAGGAACGAAGGAGGGAGUGACGGUACGGAGUAAGAAAGCCACGGCUAACUACGUG
rnacentral:rRNA from 1 species